GGGCCCGCACAAGCGGAGGAGCAUGUGGUUUAAUUCGAAGCAACGCGCAGAACCUUACCAAGGCUUGACAUAUAGAGGAAAAGUGCAGAAAUGCACUCCCCGCAAGGUCUCUAUACAGGUGGUGCAUGGUUGUCGUCAGCUCGUGUCGUGAGAUGUUGGGUUAAGUCCCGCAACGAGCGCAACCCUCGUCCUAUGUUGCCAGCACGUAAUGGUGGGAACUCAUGGGAUACUGCCGGGGUCAACUCGGAGGAAGGUGGGGAUGACGUCAAAUCAUCAUGCCCCUUAUGUCUUGGGCUUCACGCAUGCUACAAUGGCCGGUACAGAGGGCUGCAAUACCGCAAGGUGGAGCGAAUCCCAAAAAGCCGGUCUCAGUUCGGAUCGGAGUCUGCAACUCGACUCCGUG
rnacentral:rRNA from 1 species